rnacentral:rRNA from 1 species
CUUUCAACAAUGGAUCUCUUGGUUCCGGCAUCGAUGAAGAACGCAGCGAAAUGCGAUAAGUAAUGCGAAUUGCAGAAUUCCGUGAGUCAUCGAAUCUUUGAACGCACAUUGCGCCCCCCGGCUUCCCGGGGGGCAUGCCUGUCCGAGCGUCA